rnacentral:rRNA from 1 species
AACGAACGCUGGCGGCAGGCCUAACACAUGCAAGUCGAACGAGAAGCAGUCCUUCGGGAUUGUGGAAAGUGGCAGACGGGUGAGUAACGCGUGGGAAUCUACCCAGUGGUACGGAAUAACUCAGGGAAACUUGGGCUAAUACCGUAUGUGCCCGCAAGGGGAAAGAUUUAUCGCCAUUGGAUGAGCCCGCGUCUGAUUAGCUUGUUGGUGGGGUAACGGCCCACCAAGGCGACGAUCAGUAGCUGGGUCUGAGAGGAUGAUCAGCCACACUGGGACUGAGACACGGCCCAGACUCCUACGGGAGGCAGCAGUGGGGAAUAUUGGACAAUGGGCGCAAGCCUGAUCCAGCCAUGCCGCGUGAGUGAUGAAGGCCCUAGGGUUGUAAAGCUCUUUCGCACGCGAAGAUAAUGACGGUAGCGUGACAAGAAGCCCCGGCUAACUUCGUG